CUUAAGCCGGGUUAAGAGUUUAGCCAUAUUAUAUCUCAUAUAUAGGACUAUCUGGGGUCUCACAAUCUCCCCUCCUUUAAGCCUUGACGUCCUCGUCAGGCUCAGACUCACAAGUAUCAGGCGAUGUGAGACUCAUCUCGCUAGCCCGUCAUCCAGACCCUGGCUCAGCUGAGACUCAUCUCACACUUCCGACUGGUAAUUGGCUCUGAUACCAUCUGUGACGCCCCGACUUCCCAGGAGGUCACCCAUCCUAGGACUACUCCCGUCCUAGCACGCUUAACUCUCUUAACCUCUUGGGUCUUGCCACCACCCAAAAUGCUUAAGCCGGGUUAAGAGUUUAGCCCUAUUAUAUCUCAUAUAUAGGACUAUCUGGGGUCUCACAAUCUCCCCUCCUUUAAGCCCUGACGUCCUCGUCAGGCUCAGACUCACAAGUACCAGGCGAUGUGAGACUCAUCUCGCUAGCCCGUCAUCCGAACCCUGGCUUAGCCGAGACUCAUCUCACACUUCCGGCUGGUAAUUGGCUCUGAUACCAUCUGUGACGCCCCAACUUCCCAGGGGGGUCACCCAUCCUAGAACUACUCCCGUCCUAGCACGCUUAACUAUUGGGGUUGUUAUUGGAUUUAUAAGAGACUUAGACACUAGUAAUAAUAACUGGGCUUAAGCAUUUUGGGCCGGUGGUUGGGCCCAACGAGUUGGGGUUGUCAUUGGGUUUAUAAGAGACUUAGACACUAGUAAUAAUAACUGGGCUUAAGCAUUUUGGGCCGGUGGUUGGGCCCAACGAGUUAUUAUUGCUAGUGGGCUGGAUCGUUACAGUUGGUAUCAAAGCCGGUUCACCAGCUGGACAUGUGUUGCGAGUCUUGGCUGAGUCAGGGUCUGGAUGACAGGCUAGCGAGACGAGUCUCACAUCGCCUGGUGAUCUUGGGCUAUGUGUAUGAUUGGACUGACGAGGACGUCAAGGCCUUAACGGGGGGAGUCUGUGACGCCCCAACUUCCCAGGGAGGUCACCCAUCCUAGGACUACUCCCGUCCUAGCACGCUUAACUCUCUUAACCUCUUAGGCCUUGCCACCACCAAAAAUGUUUAAGCCGGGUUAAGAGUUUAGCCCUAUUAUAUCUCAUAUAUAAGACCUGUCACGGGUCGAUUGUUGGGACUCGACCGUGACACCUUCGGGGGCCAUAUUUGGUAGGCACUUGGGUUGACGAAGUUAUGGAGUUGCGGAGUUGAGGCGUUCCGUCAGGUAGGAGUCGCCGUCAAGUCAACGAAGGCAAUUCCCUAGCAAUGGCCCGUGCCAUGACAUGGAAAUAGGUGCCGCAUGCGGGGUUGGAAAACGUACCCCUCGGUGAGCACCUUCGUACCCCCGAGGUGCCAAAGGAGUGGAUGCCUCGUAAGGGUACUAGAGGAGGGGUGGACACUUCGUAAGUGGCCCUCGACUCCCAUAGGUUCGCCUCAUAAGGCCCCAUACAAACGAACCGGCCUCGCUCCGCAUCGCUAGCCACUGGCCCCUCCUUGGCUCGACCACGCCUGGCCGCUUACACCAUUGGUCCAGUCUCUCAAGGUUCACUAUACGGAUACCGAUACCGCUCGCCUCCUUGGGUUUCGCCCCUCGAGUCUCGUAGGCUACCCACCAGGCGAUGUAAGACUCAUCUCGCUAGCCCGUCAUCCAAACCCUGGCUCAGCUGAGACUCAUCUCACACUUUCGGCUGGUAAUUGGCUCUGAUACCAUCUGUGACACCCCGACUUCCCAGGGGGUCACCCAUCCUAGGACUACUCCCGUCCUAGCACGCUUAACUCUCUUAACCUCUUGGGUCUAGCUACCAUCCAAAAUGCUU
rnacentral:lncRNA from 1 species